UACGUAGGGUGCAAGCGUUAAUCGGAAUCAUUGGGCGUAAAGAGCGCGCAGGCGGCUUGGCAAGUCGGGUGUGAAAUCCCGGGGCUCAACCCCGGGACUGCAUUCGAUACUGUCAGGCUAGAGGUAGGUAGGGGAGAUCGGAAUUCCUGGUGUAGCGGUGAAAUGCGCAGAUAUCAGGAGGAACACCGGUGGCGAAGGCGGCUCUCUGGGACGGUACUGACGCUGAGACGCGAAAGCGUGGGGAGCAAACAGG
rnacentral:rRNA from 1 species